rnacentral:rRNA from 1 species
AAAUUGAAGAGUUUGAUCAUGGCUCAGAUUGAACGCUGGCGGCAGGCCUAACACAUGCAAGUCGAACGGUAACAGGAAGCAGCUUGCUGCUUCGCUGACGAGUGGCGGACGGGUGAGUAAUGUCUGGGAAACUGCCUGAUGGAGGGGGGUAACUACUGGAAACGGUGGCUAAUACCGCAUAACGUCGCAAGACCAAAGAGGGGGACCUUCGGGCCUCUUGCCAUCAGAUGUGCCCAGAUGGGAUUAGCUAGUUGGUGAGGUAACGGCUCACCAAGGCGACGAUCCCUAGCUGGUCUGAGAGGAUGACCAGCCACACUGGAACUGAGACACGGUCCAGACUCCUACGGGAGGCAGCAGUGGGGAAUAUUGCACAAUGGGCGCAAGCCUGAUGCAGCCAUGCCGCGUGUAUGAAGAAGGCCUUCGGGUUGUAAAGUACUUUCAGCGGGGAGGAAGGUGUUGUGGUUAAUAACC